rfam:Salmo salar isolate Sally breed double haploid chromosome ssa13, whole genome shotgun sequence.
GCCGUGAUCGUAUAGUGGUUAGUACUCUGCGUUGUGGCCGCAGGAACCCCGGUUCGAAUCCGGGUCACGGCA